CUUGACUGGUACUUGUACCCAAAUUGGGUCUCUCUUAUGGCCUGCUGCUAUUAUAGGUUUUCCCUCCUAUUGAGAGAAUGGUAUGGUAGAUCUCAAAUCAAUGAAGGCUA